rnacentral:lncRNA from 1 species
CCCAUUUUACACUACUUCAGGCCCUGGGGAAGGCAAGAGGAUUAGGUUCCCAGCUUAGCUUAUAUAUAUAUGCACAUAUAUAGCACAGACCCACUAAAUUACAAAUCCAAAAUCCUCUUUGGUUGUGGUUCCCAGACAUUCUGUUUUUCCAGGAUUUCUCUUUUAGGCUGGUAGUCACAUCCAGCCUGGAAUCUUGCCUCCUAGGUUGCCAUAAAUUUUAAUUCUUUUCCAGGAACUCCACAAUCUUCACCUAGAACUGAAAAGGACAAUGGAAAUAGAUCAAACCUCAUGUUUCUUGGUACCACAGAGACUAACUGAACCACCCAGAAUUUUGUAGUUUUCACUAUAGCUGUUGGCUUCGAAGGUUGUUUUGGAGAACAUGUCCUGGCCUAACCCCUGAUGUCAGCUGCAAAAGGUUUAGUGGACUCUUUGGCUAUCUUCAUCACAGCAUCAUUUUAAGUCAAGGAAAUGAGAAAAAAGAAAGGAUAGUGAGAGCCAGGAAAAAUAGGCAAGGGGAGGAGAAGGGUGGAGGAAAGGUAGAAAAGAAGGAAGGAGAGAAGAGAAAAAAGGGAAAAGUGAAGUUAGAGAAAGCCAGAACCACUAUUCUAAAAGUCUGUUAGGUUAAAAAAAAAAGGGGGAGGGAUUUUAAGUAGGCUCCACUUUC